GAUGAAGAACGUAGCGAAAUGCGAUAAGUAAUGUGAAUUGCAGAAUUCAGUGAAUCAUCGAAUCUUUGAACGCACAUUGCGCCCCUCGGUAUUCCGGGGGGCAUGCCUGUUCGAGCGUCAUUACACCACUCAAGCCUCGCUUGGUCUUGGGCGUCCGCGGUCCGCCGCGCGCCCCAAUGUCUCCGGCUGAGCCGUCCGUCUCUAAGCGUUGUGAUAAACUGUUCGCUUGCGAGGCCGGGCUGGCUUGUUUCCCGUUAAACCCCCCAUUUUUACAGGUUGACCUCGGAUCAGGUAGGGAUACCCGCUGAACUUAAGCAUAUCAAUAAGCGGAGGA
rnacentral:misc_RNA from 1 species